rnacentral:rRNA from 1 species
AACGAACGCUGGCGGCAUGCCUAACACAUGCAAGUCGAACGAGACCUUCGGGUCUAGUGGCGCACGGGUGCGUAACGCGUGGGAACCUGCCCUUAGGUUCGGAAUAACUCCCCGAAAGGGGUGCUAAUACCGGAUAAUGUCUUCGGACCAAAGAUUUAUCGCCUUUGGAUGGGCCCGCGUUGGAUUAGCUAGUUGGUAGGGUAAAAGCCUACCAAGGCGACGAUCCAUAGCUGGUCUGAGAGGAUGAUCAGCCACACUGGGACUGAGACACGGCCCAGACUCCUACGGGAGGGAGCAGUGGGGAAUAUUGGAAAAUGGGCGAAAGCCUGAUCAAGCAAUGCCGCGUGAGUGAUGAAGGCCUUAGGGUUGUAAAGCUCUUUUACCCGGGAUGAUAAUGACAGUACCGGGAGAAUAAGCUCCGGCUAACUCCGUG